AUACUUACCUGGUGCCGGAGUAUCCGUGAUCAUCGAGCUCCCAGGGCGAGACGCGGGCAUUGCACUGCGCUCGUGUUGACCCCUGCCACUACCCCAAACUGGGGCAGAUGGGGCAUGCAAUUUUUGGUAGUGGGGGACUGCGUUCGCGCUUUCCCCUU
rnacentral:snRNA from 1 species